rnacentral:misc_RNA from 1 species
GAUGAAGAACGCAGCGAAAUGCGAUAAGUAGUGUGAAUUGCAGAAUUCAGUGAAUCAUCGAAUCUUUGAACGCUCAUUGCGCCCUUUGGUAUUCCAAAGGGCAUGCCUGUUCGAGCGUCAUUUGUACCCUCAAGCUUUGCUUGGUGUUGGGCGUCUUGUCUCUAGCUUUGCUGGAGACUCGCCUUAAAGUAAUUGGCAGCCGGCCUACUGGUUUCGGAGCGCAGCACAAGUCGCACUCUCUAUCAGCAAAGGUCUAGCAUCCAUUAAGCCUUUUUUUCAACUUUUGACCUCGGAUCAGGUAGGGAUACCCGCUGAACUUAAGCAUAUCAAUAAGCGGAGGA